CCUACGGGAGGCAGCAGUGGGGAAUCUUGCGCAAUGGGCGAAAGCCUGACGCAGCCAUGCCGCGUGAAUGAUGAAGGUCUUAGGAUUGUAAAAUUCUUUCAGUAGGGACGAUAAUGACGGUACCUACAGAAGAAGCCCCGGCUAACUUCGUGCCAGCAGCCGCGGUAAUACGAAGGGGGCUAGCGUUGCUCGGAAUUACUGGGCGUAAAGGGAGCGUAGGCGGGUUAUCAAGUUGGAGGUGAAAGCCCAGGGCUCAACCUUGGAAUUGCCUUCAAAACUGAUAGCCUAGAGUAUGAUAGAGGUAUGUGGAACUCCGAGUGUAGAGGUGAAAUUCGUAGAUAUUCGGAAGAACACCAGUGGCGAAGGCGACAUACUGGGUCAUGACUGACGCUGAGGCUCGAAAGCGUGGGGAGCAAACAGGAUUAGAUACCCUGGUAGUCCACGCUGUAAACGAUGAUUGCUAGUUGUCGGACGGCAUGCCGUUCGGUGACGCAGCUACGACAUAAGUACGAUACCGCCGUGGGAGGUACGGUCGGCGAGAAGUUAAACGUAACGUUAAAGAAAGUAGUUAGGCGUGAGACGNGCCGACGGACGACGACGAGGGAGGAGG
rnacentral:rRNA from 1 species